rnacentral:tRNA from 3 species
GCGGGCCUGGCCGAUUGGUCAGGCAUCACCCUUCCAAGGUGACCAGGUGGGUUCGAUUCCCACGGCCCGCUCCA